CACCAUCCUCCAGAUCAUUAAUAAAGAUAUUAAACAAAACUGGCCCCAGGACCGACCCUUGGGGCACUCCGCUUGAAGCAAAACGAGGGGUGCAGGUGUUGGGGCUGCUGGCCGGGAUCUGGAGGAGUGUGACAGGUGUGCGAGAGGAGUGGAGUUGGAGGAGGAGUACGUGUCUGCAGUGCCUGGGGGAGGCCUGUGCCUCUCCCAGGCAGAAGGUAUUUGUGCAUUGCCAGUUCCUGGGAGGCUUGGGUCCAGCCCAGCAUUGGGGACCAGGGGGAGGAGAGAGUGGAAUUGGUGAAGUUGGGGAGUGGAGCACCAGGAGCCGCUCACCCCACCUUGGGGGCACUUGUGGGGACUGAGCUCUUUUUGGGUACAGGUAGUUUUGGGACCCCAGAGGAUGGGGAGCAACAGUCUGGGCUCAUUCACCCACCUCCCCUUAUGGGGGGAGCACUGACCCAGUGGUGAGCACCAUACCUGUUGGUCAGCCCCGCAGUGUCCUUGAACCUGACAUGAGACUGGGGCCACUUGCAGGUGACCGAGCAGGGUGAGCUGCUCGAGCGGCAGAUGUCAGAGGUCAGGGCCCUGAGACGGCUGAACUGGAAGGCAGGAGAACAGAGCAGAGUUCCAGACUGGUGCGAGCGGUGGGGUUCCGACCAGAGGAACCAAGAGGAAAUCCUACAUAGCAGCAGCCUCUGUUUCAGUAACCACAGUGUGUUUAGCAGCCUCUCUUUCAGUAACCACAGUGGCGAUUGCAGGACUGCAGCCAUCUGUCUCCUUGCAGCAGCAGGAUCAUGUAGCUGGACUCUGGUACACAGGGAUUUCAAGUGGGUGCCCCAUGUGGGACUUUGUAGUGGGCAUUUUGCUGCUCCACUCCUUGGGCUUUAUCCCUCGGCAGCUGGGGUCAGUGAUUCACCUGCCAGACAGUAGGGAAUUUGAUGUUAGUUUCCAUUCAGUCAACGAGUCCGAGCAGUUCUGGGAGAAGUUUCUCUUCUGCACUAAUGUGUUGCUUUUCCUUGUGAACCUGGCAAGCUCAGUCGGUAGAGCACCAGACUUUUAAUCUGAGGAUCCAGGGUACACGUCCCUGCUCAAGUAGGGAUACUUCCCCCCGUUGCGUGCCCCACAAACUUCCAAAGUUCUCUCGUUAGAACCCUUCUUGUCAUUACUUAUUUUCUUCAGGCUUUGGCCUUUCCUAGGAAGGGCCCUUUAAGUGCGUGGGACUGAAGGUGCAACUUCCUGACCUGCCUACUAGCCUCGCAGUCUGGAGGAAGAAAGGCUUAAUGUCCUUAUGCAAAGCAUGCGGGCCCUAAACCUUAGAGAGUUGCUAUUUCUCCUAGAUAGCUGUUCAUGGAAGUGGGAGCUGUGUCUCACUGCCUCUGCUUUUGCCUUUAAGUGAAUUUGCUGACUUGGAUGCAGGAUCUGGGGAAUGUUUGAAGCUUUUGCUCCUUAUUGAGUGCUCUCUCCUGCAGCAGUGCAAGGCGCGCUCUACCUAGAGCCUGAAAGAAAUCCACCUUCAGUGUUUGCUGCUCACCCAGCGCCUGACUUUUCUUGGAGGGAGCAGCGUUUAGGCUUGGGCUCAGACUGCCCCUGCCCCUCCCACCCCCCAAUCUGGUUACUGCUGCAGCUGUUGGGACUAGUUCCUGGAGCUGAAGGAGCAUAAGUGGUGUCCAACUGCGGUGGAGUUGAAGGAGCAUGUUUCUGCAGUGCCUGGGGGUACUCCAGGCCUUUCCCAGAAGCUAGGGUGAAGCUCAGUAUUGCAGCCUGAAUUCUCAGGCCACCAAGAGGAGAAGUUUUUCCCUUCCCUUUAGAGCCUUUCAAACCAUAUCCACAACCUCAGCUGGCCCUUACCAGGGCGAGCCAGAUGGGGGCCCUGGCUAUGCCUGGAAAGGACAGUAAAUGCCUGGCAAGCUCCACCCACCAGGGCCGGCUCCAGGCACCAGAAGAGAAAGCACGUGCCUGGGGCGGCACAUUGUAAGGGGUGGCAUUCCGGCCAAUCUUGGGGCGGCACAGUCCGGCCGCCCUGCCGUGGUUCUUUUUGUUUGUUUGUUUGCUUUGGCAGCCCGGUCAGCAGCUCCGGAGCCCCUGACCGGCUUCCCGCGCUCUGUCAGUCCCAGCCCAGCCUGCAGGGGCACGGACCCUGGCCUGGGGGGGCAGGAACUAGCGAUCCCCACUGCUCACUGUGCCGCCAGGCUCCCUGGGACGUGCCACUCCCCGCCGCCUGCACUGGCCUCCACCUCCCGCACCGCUCUGAGCCUGGCCCGGCUGAGCCACCUUUAAAGGAGCGGCUGAGCCACCACCUCUUGCAGCCCCCAGAGGCUCCGCCUGCCCGGCCGGGAAAGGCACCCCAAGGCCAGAGGGGGAGCCCCUUCUUGCCCGGCUGUAAGCGGGCUGCAGCUCCUGGCUGCCCAUGGGUAGAGGGAGCGGGCAGGCGUCGCCCUUCAUCCCCCUGCGAGCCGCCUUGACUGCCCUCCACGCGCUCCCUGCGGCUGCCGUAGAGCCGGCCCUGCCAACCACUCAUAAACACCCCCCAGUUCAGUGAUUCCUCCCGCAGCCACACGGCUUUCACACACACUCCCCAAAAGCCUGCCUGGGGGAGUUUAUUUUCCCUUGCAUUGCAUUGAGUGCUACAGGAUUCAGCUGGCCCUUAGAUUGCUGCCCACCUCAACUGCACCCCUGUGAGAACCAGAGGUUAAAUGGACAGUGACUCAAUGGGGGACUGCGGAGGAGUGGCAGCCCAUGGUGCUCAUUGGAAGAUUUUUGAGUGUAUGUCCCUUUCAUACACCGAACCAGUACAAUCACGAACACACCUCCCUAAGUUAAAACGACUAUAAACACCACUCAGCUAACUAAGGGUUAAACAACAAUGUUACCAAGUGUGGGUCAAAUCAAUGAGUUAACAAUGAUAUUGCAUUGGAACCAGGUCAGCAGUUUAGUCAAAUCAUCAGAUUAAUACAGCAGAAAAUCCCCGCUUAUAAAUCCUAAAACGGAGAAUAUAAACCAACCAGUGCAAUCCAGCUUGAGCUAAUUGGAUAUUUCUGAAUAUUACUGAAACCAAAUUAUUGCUUACUUUUAAGCCACAACCUCAGAGCCAAUUAAAGCUGCCACCUCACCACAACACCGAUAUAUACCUUAUUGAGCCUGUUAUAAGUAGAAGUUUUAAAGGUCUUAAUGAACAAUUUAUGUUCGACAGCUUAGUUUCUUUGAACCCUUUCACAGAUGAGGAGUGUGUGCGCGUGCACACACACAGACACACAACUAGAAAGUCUGGGAUAUUAAUGAAGACAAAAAUAGAAAAAGGAAUCAUAAUUUACUAAAUUGACAAGGGGUUAGAUUUCUGCAGCUCUCUCAUUUUUUGGAUUCAAGUGGAAUAGGAGCUGUAGCUGCACUGAAGGAAACAGGUGAUUGUAUAGCUGGCCUGGUGCGUCAGGAUAGUGUGUUUUAUCAGGUGCACAGAAACCAGUCAAGGCUGACGUAGAUGUCAUGACUUCCUUCCCCAGGGGGAUCAGUCUCUCUUUGAAGGCUUGAUGCCCUGAAAGGCAAAAGAUGUCCACCUUUACCAUGAUCUUUAUGGUUGUAAGUUCUGCCUUACCAUGCCUUCCGGAAGGUCUCCUGGUAAAUCAAAUGUGAAGUAUACCUUGGACACAGACAACACAUCCCGAUCCAGUUGACGUGUGGCCGCCUUUUGGCCAAUAUCUGUUUGGAAAAGUGCUGCUUAACCCAGCAGCUUUCUUAAAAUAUCUGUUGUUGCAAACCACUCGCACUGUGUAUGGGUGAACCCCAAAGAUCUCAGAAAUGAAAGAAAAACAAGGCCAGUUUUGAGGAAGUUUCCAUAACCAGGCGUUAGGGUUAAACAGCUGGGCUCUAACAGCCUCCUCAAAAAGAAGAGGGGCCUCAGCAGCCAUACAAAUAGUUAUUUGAAACAAAUUCGCAGAAAAGCUACCAUUAUUCCUGCAUCACCAUCUUAAAUUGAGACAUCUGCUGACCAAUGUGACAUCUUUGCUUUGCAAACCAAAGAACUGGGACACUCAGGCUUAGUCUACAGAGAGAAGUUGACAUAGGGCAGCUUACAUUAACCUAGGAAUGUCGCAUCUACACUACAGUGUUUUUCCCGCUGAUGUCACUUGCCGACUACGUUGACUUAAAACGCCACCUACAUGAGAGGCGUAGUGCUUAAGUCGAUGUAGUUAGGUCGAUGCAGCACCUCUGCAGACACUGCGUUGCUUAUAUCAACUGAAGUGGCCUCCAGGAGUUGUCCCACAAUGCCCCACUGUGACUGCUCUGGUCACCAUUUUGAACUCCGCUGCCCAGCAGCCGGGUACACGGGAAUAAGCCCCUCCCCUAUUGAAGGACUGUAAUUGUUUUGAAUUUCCAUUUCCUGUUUGCUCAGGUGGAGCACUCACCUGGCAACUGCCCAGCUGAGCAUGCCGGCUACUUGCUCCAAACAUGUCCAACCUGUAGUACAGAGAAGGUGGUGGAUCUCCUGAGUCUGUGGGAGAAGAGGCUGUGCAGGCAUAGCUCUGAUCAAGCCAUAGAACUGUGGACAUCUACAAGCAGAUUGCUUGGGGCAUGGGGGAGAAAGGCUACAAGGGGGACCCGCAGCAGUGCUGCGUGAACAUCAAGGAGUUGCGGCAGGCAUACCAGAAUGCAAGGGAGGCAAGCAGUCACUGCAGACAUGCUGCUUUUACAAGGAGCUGCAUGCUAUCCUCUGCAGUGACACCCCCUUCCCCAAGAGCCCCGGGGAUAUAUCAGAGGAGUCAGAAUCACAGGCCACUGCAGGCAACCCUGGGGAGGAAGUUUUGGACAAGGAAGAGGAGGAUGAGAAUGGGGGACAGGCGAGUGGGGGAAUCCAUUGUUGUGGCGAGCCAGGAGCUGUUUGUAACCCCAGAGCAGUCCAUCCAGUUGCAACACUUCAGCAUGGGCGAGCAUGAUGCGGGGCAAGGAACCUCUGGUAAGUAUGCAGUUUGCAUUGGUAUUGCAUGGACACAUCUCAUUUACUGUUUUUUUAUUUGUGUUACAAGAGUUAACCACUAUACCUCCACUGAUUAUUUCACUAUCUGCUUCUCAUUCAGAUGAUCACGUAAUUAGUCUCUUACUCUUUAACCAAUAACUUCACCUAUAAUUUUAUUUUCAUUGGUAACAAUUACAUAUUCAAAGAUCAUAAAAUCUUGUCAUAUAUGGUAGUUUUCUUUUAAUCCCCAUUGCCAACAACUGAACCCUUGGAUCAAGUUGUGGUUUGUACCAGUGUAGGUGCCUCCCACAUCUAUGGGUUCAUAUAUCUCUGGAUCUUCUGCCAUGUGUGUUGGUGGAAGGGGUCUCCUACGUGGGAAUGUUUGCAUCACGAGGAAAAACACCUCUCUCUUCUUUUCACACUUUUUAAUCUUUCAAAGUAGGAGGAGGUAGAGGAGAAAUUAUAUUAACGCAUAAAACACAGGAGAAAACUAACAUCUGGUCUACACUUAAGACAUUUAUCGGUAUAACUACGUUACUCAGGGGUGUGAAAAAUCCACACUGCUGAGCAACGUAGGUACACCACCCUAUGUAGCUAUCGCUACGUCAGCAGGAGAGCUUCUCCUGCCAACAUAGCCACCGCCGCUUGCGGGGGCUGGACUAAUAAAGUCAGAUGGGAGAGAUCUCGCCCAUUGGCUUAGAGCAUCUGUAAUAGCAGUGCUACAGCAGCGCAGCUACAUUGGUGCAGCUGCGCCAACAUCAGCUUUAUUGUGUAGCCAUAGCGUCAGACACAACACCAUAGAAUCAGGGCUCAACAUGCGUCUAUCCUGAGGUCUGAAAUUGGAAUCCAACACAUUCAUUGCCUGACUGGUCACCAUCAUUUCUACAGCCUGAAAGUCCUUCUUACCCACUCAGGCAGCCAGUUGGGGAUCUAUGGGGAAGGAAUGUCCUAUGAAAAACUCUCUCUCUUUGCCUCAUGAAACUUUGGAUCGAAAUAGCAAAGGACAAUUCUUUCCAAUCUAACCGUGGCAUCUUUUGGGAUUGAAAUCCGUGCUACUGAACUAGGGAGCGGUGUUCCAAAAACAGUUUUACCUGGGCCAGAGUUCACCACAGCUUCCUUUUCAGGGGUGAAAACCAACAACUAUGUGCCUACUAUUCCUACUCAAGUUCUUGCCAAAUCCUUGGCCUGGGUUAGGGUAAAUUUGCAUUUCUCCAGUGGAGAAUCCUUUACCAAACCUUGCAGAAUGUCAGCAGUGUAAGUGAGGAAUGGGUUCCCCAAACAUACACAGUUUAUUUCUUUAAUUUGGUGGCGCAAGUCUGAGCCCUGGUCAGUUAGGAAGUAGAUACAGAGGGUCAGACUCUCUGUAAGCUACUGGAGAUGGGGUUUCUAUUUGAAAAUAGUUAUUUCCUGCGGCUAUUUCACAUUCGAUACUGAACUUAUUUUAAACAUAUUUAAUGCACCUACAAAAAAUGUCAUAUCUAUUUCUCCCCAUCUGUAUCAAGAGUAGCAUUUCACAGAUUAUAGGAUUAGCUAGGGGAUAGCUUCAGGAGUAAUUUCCUGUAGGGUCAGGAUCACAGAAACAAAAACAUAGGCAUUUUGCAUCAUCACAAGUCACUUACUGUGGAUCAUCUGAGACAAUAUUGACCUAAACAACUCAACAAUGCUGUGAUCGCAGGCAGUUACUUCAGUUAGUAGCACAGUUUGGGGCAUGCCGUUGGUCAUUUCUGAGUGGAGAUUUAAAAACACUACUUUUCUUUGUUAGCAUGUCCAGUAGAUUGGAAAGUCGUGUCCUGUUGACUGAACUAAAUUUGAACUUUCUCCAUGUCAAGAAGAAAGGCAAGGAGCAAGCAAAAUGCAAUUAAGACAUGAUGACAUUAGCAAAUGGUCAUUUGUCUUAAAGUCCCCAAUAAAUCUGAGGUACAUUCUGUGAAACAAAAUUAAUAUCCAGUUCUAUGACCAAACAGCCUUCAGGAAAGAUAGAAAACCCUGAAGAGGUACAAGACACUUUAAUAUUCAGGUGAAGGGAAAUUUCAAAGCAGGUUACUUCUGAUGACUGACAAUCAGGACAAGAAAUUCUCCCAUACUGUUCUCCACUGAUCGAUUUAAACCUGCUUCACUAAGCGCUGACUCAUUCUUGAGUUGUGUUACUUACAAAAGUUUUAGCAUCAUCAUAAUGGGGGGGAGGAGAAAAAACCCACAGCCAACCUUCCCAUAAGUGGCUUUACCAAUAGAUGGAAACUGGGAUUUUAACUCCAAAUGCUCACACUGUGUUUGGGACCCAUUUGAAUUCCCUUCCGUAUCUGUGACACUUUCAUCUCCUGCCCCCAUGAGUCUGAUUGAAAUCAAAGCAGCAUUCUCAAGCUGAAAAUACUGCAUUACCUGAAUGUUUGGGAGGUGGAGGGGUAGAAUAUGAAGAAGAUAAAAACUUCAUGGCUCAGACUGAAGGUAACUGUUCUGGGGUGAUGGGGAAGCAGGGACUCUCUCUGAGUCACCCCUUAUCCUUCCACUGUUGCAGAGGCUGAAAUGACACGUGUGUGAGUGCCCAUGUUCCUGCUCUUCAUUAUAUUCAAAUGUAUUUUAAAUGAGGAUAAUGGUACAAAGAAUAACUACUAUUUUGCACAACACUAGCCCAAUUGAGAACAACUGCAACUAGGGUGACCAGAGGUCCCCAUAAAAUCGGGACUGUUCCGAUAUUUAGGUGUUUGUCCCACGUCCCAAUAUUUCGCUCCGGCAGCACUCGUCCCGUCCCCCCCCAUGUGUCCCGAUAUUUUCUUUCUCUCAUCUGGUCACCCUAACUGCAACUGAGACAAUCUGUCCCCGGAGGGGAACUUGGUGACUCUAAGAGUAAUUUUUCAGUGUUUUGAGUUCCCUGACAAUUAAUCGAUUUACCAACUUUCUCCUGUGGUUUGUUUCCCUGUUGCCUCUCUCGCCUGUGCUGUCUGUCACAGGCUUUACCCUGCUCAUGACUCCUGGACACAUUCCCUUUGGACCUUCGUGAUGAUGGUCCACGUGCUUCCACUUUCUCAGCAACUUUCUGGUGAGGCUUCUGCUCCGCGUUCUCACCUGCUGACAUAAAGAGAGAAACCUCAGAAAGAGAGAUGGAGAAGGGGACAGCAAACCAAAGGUAACACCCGCAAGGUAGUUAUCCAGCACAUCUUGGAGGGACUAUUCAAAUUGAGUGGCCCAUCAAAAGGACACAAGUCACAAUGGACCAUGGGAGACCUCAUCUAAACCAAACAGACUUUUAUGUGAACGUUCCAUCUGAAGUAUAGGUAAUGGCUUCUUGCAAUGACUGAAUGAAAUUGGGCAUGGACGGGGAACUUGCCCAUGUGACUCCAAGAUCCCAACUUUCACCUGUGAUUUUCCACUAGCUGUGCUGAGGACUUUGAAACAAUGAGUUUCCCUCCACAUAGCAGACGCUAUAAGAGGCCUGGAAACAUCUCCACUGUGUCUCUAUCCUGCUCCAGCCUCUUUCCUGCUCAAACCUCUGGACUAUGGACUUACACUAAUGGGAGCAUUCUAACCAAGAGACUGAGGACCUUCCAGUGGUUUGGAAGCAACCAGAGACUUAUCAAAC